rnacentral:hammerhead_ribozyme from 1 species
AUCCACUCGUCCCAAAUAGGACGAAACGCGCGUCCUGGAU